CCCCAGGAUAGUGCAACUGGUAGACCACAAGACUCUUAAUCUCAGGAUCAUGGGUUCAAACCCCACGUUGGGCA